rnacentral:rRNA from 1 species
AACGAAGCGAAAGCUUUGCUAAUACCGCAUACGAUCUACGGAUGAAAGCAGGGGACCGCAAGGCCUUGCGCGAACGGAGCGGCCGAUGGCAGAUUAGGUAGUUGGUGGGAUAAAAGCUUACCAAGCCGACGAUCUGUAGCUGGUCUGAGAGGACGACCAGCCACACUGGGACUGAGACACGGCCCAGACUCCUACGGGAGGCAGCAGUGGGGAAUUUUGGACAAUGGGCGAAAGCCUGAUCCAGCCAUGCCGCGUGCAGGAUGAAGGCCUUCGGGUUGUAAACUGCUUUUGUACGGAACGAAAAGACUCUGGUUAAUACCUGGGGUCCAUGACGGUACCGUAAGAAUAAGCACCGGCUAACUACGUGCCAGCAGCCGCGGUAAUACGUAGGGUGCAAGCGUUAAUCGGAAUUACUGGGCGUAAAGCGUGCGCAGGCGGUUAUAUAAGACAGAUGUGAAAUCCCCGGGCUCAACCUGGGAACUGCAUUUGUGACUGUAUAGCUAGAGUACGGCAGAGGGGGAUGGAAUUCCGCGUGUAGCAGUGAAAUGCGUAGAUAUGCGGAGGACACCGAUGGCGAAGGCAAUCCCCUGGGCCUGUACUGACGCUCAUGCACGA